UGCACCAAAUGCAAAAUGCCACUUUGAUCAAAUUGAGAGAUUUUGGAUGUAAUGGAAGUAUUUGUAAGUAUUAUUAUGUAUUGCGAUGUUCGCAUACAUUAAGAUUCCAAAACCCAGCUUGAAAUUUAGAUAAUGUGCCCUGAAAGCUGUCCUAGUGGGUUAUACCGCUACAGGAUACUUGACGUGGCAUUCAAGCUCGAGCUACAUGUGAGAUCUAACAAGAAACUUGCCUACAAAGAUGUUUAUAGAAAUAAACAACUUGAUGACACUAAAGAAAAAUUACAGACCCAGGAAAAUAUAAUCGACUGGGAUUGGAUGAAAAACUCGAAAGAGCCAAAAUAAGGGAACUGCCGAUCAAAAGGCCAAUACCCUGCUACACUUAAAGAAAAUCGUAAAGGACGUAAAUAUGAGAAACCUGAUAGAGAAGAAGAUAUGAGGCUUUGUCUUAUUUCUUCAUUAAAUAGAGAACCAAUAAAAUUCAAGGAAGCUAUAAAUUCUAGAGAAGGCCACUUAUGGAAGAAAGCUAUAAAAAGAAGAAAUUGAUUCCAUGAUACAAAAUAAGGUUUGGAUUUUGGUAGAUAAAAGGAAUCUUCAAAUAUCUGGAAAACGGGCAAACAUUAUAGACUCGAAAUGGUAUUCGAGAGAAAAUUAGAGGCAAAUGGUCUUAUACGAUACAAAGUAAGAUUAGU